rnacentral:rRNA from 1 species
GAUGAACGCUGGCGGCGUGCCUAAUACAUGCAAGUCGAGCGAACAGAUGAGGAGCUUGCUCCUCUGACGUUAGCGGCGGACGGGUGAGUAACACGUGGAUAACCUACCUAUAAGACUGGGAUAACUUCGGGAAACCGGAGCUAAUACCGGAUAAUAUAUUGAACCGCAUGGUUCAAUAGUGAAAGACGGUUUUGCUGUCACUUAUAGAUGGAUCCGCGCCGCAUUAGCUAGUUGGUAAGGUAACGGCUUACCAAGGCAACGAUGCGUAGCCGACCUGAGAGGGUGAUCGGCCACACUGGAACUGAGACACGGUCCAGACUCCUACGGGAGGCAGCAGUAGGGAAUCUUCCGCAAUGGGCGAAAGCCUGACGGAGCAACGCCGCGUGAGUGAUGAAGGUCUUCGGAUUGUAAAACUCUGUUAUUAGGGAAGAACAAAUGUGUAAGUAACUAUGCACGUCUUGACGGUACCUAAUCAGAAAGCCACGGCUAACUACGUG